rnacentral:lncRNA from 1 species
UGAAGAGUUACAGGCGCUCCGCUGGAGCUGUUGCAUUCUGGAAGUCGUAGGUAAGGCAGUCCAAGGCCUUGUGGGAGUUGUAGUCUCAGGGCAGCUUCCGCUCCAGGCUUCCGCGUGGCAGGCAGAGUGCAGAACCCAUUCCACCCAGUGUGGCUAUCCCAAGCGACCCCCUUUUCUUCCCGCGAUGCCCGCCCCAACGUGCUCCUCUUGCCACGCGGCCCGCGCUGCCCUCCGCCGCCCGCGCUCGGGGCAGGCGUUAUGCGGCUCCUGCUUCUGUGCCACCUUUGAGGCCGA